GGACAAAAGGACCAAGAACCUUUCUAGCUAACACUCUGACAAUCGUCAUAAAUACACCUGAUAUAUUCAAGGUGUGACUCUGGGGCUAAAGCUGCAUAAUAAUACCAUUAUUUCCUCUAAGGUAUUUUUCCUUUUCGAGCCCACCUGGCUCGGGGAUAGGUUAUAAUGCGUUGGAUUCAACCCCACGGAGAUUUAUCAUGAUAGAGGGAGCGGAGAGUUUGGCGUGUUCAAGAUCAGAGCCUCUCAGAUCAUAUCCUUCCUUCAUCCCGCAAAUUCAUGGACCCAGCAGACUGGUCUGGUGCCGCGUUGGCUCAACAAGGUAUCAGCAAGCCAAUAAUGG
rnacentral:sRNA from 1 species